CCUACGGGAGGCAGCAGUGGGGAAUAUUGGGCAAUGGGCGCAAGCCUGACCCAGCAACGCCGCGUGAAGGAAGAAGGCUUUCGGGUUGUAAACUUCUUUUGUCAGGGACGAAGCAAGUGACGGUACCUGACGAAUAAGCCACGACUAACUACGUGCCAGCAGCCGCGGUAAUACGUAGGUGGCAAGCGUUAUCCGGAUUUACUGGUGGUAAAGGGCGUGUAGGCGGGACUGCAAGUCAGAUGUGAAAACCACGGGCUCAACCUGUGGCCUGCAGUUGAAACUGUAGUUCUUGAGUACUGGAGAGGCAGACGGAAUGCCUAGUGUAGCGGUGAAAUGCGUAGAUAUUAGGAGGAACACCAGUGGCGAAGGCGGGCGGCUGGACAGCAACUGACGCUGAGGCGCGAAAGCGUGGGGAGCAAACAGGAUUAGAUACCCUUGUAGUC
rnacentral:rRNA from 1 species